rnacentral:lncRNA from 1 species
UGGUAGAGAAGGAGACACAUUUGUGCAAUAUUUAGGAAGCAAAAUUGUAGAGCAGGAAUGGAUCUGAAGUCAAUGAAAAACUCUUCAUAGCUCUAGUUGUUGGGCUUCCCCAGAAGAUGACAUUGAAAGGAAGGUUUGGAUGCAAGUUGUUCAUUUAGGAGGAGAUCUCAGGAAGCACAAAGUAUUUCCUUGAGUCAGGACCUCCAAGUCCUCCCCUAACUCCAGGUAUGCUGGGUGCUGGAGAGAGCCCUGGACUUGGAGUCAAAAGACUGCAGUUGGAGCAGAGGAUCUUCCCUCAGAAGUUCUGCUGUGGGCUGAGUCGUUUCACCUCUCUGGGCCCCAGAUGGACCUUUGUAAAACUGAGUGGAGGCGAGGAGGUGCAGCAGGUCCAUAAAUUCAUCAGCUUCCCAGGCUGCUUCCACCUUUGCUACAUGUGGCCUCAUCCUUACAGCCCAAGAUGGCUCCUAGGGCUCUAGCCAUCACAUGCUGGUACCAGAGAGCAAGAUGACUGAAGGGGAGGAAAGAGAGCAUGUGCUUGUCUCGUGAAGAGAUUUCCUGGAAGUUACACAAAACAUUUCUGUUUUCAGCUUGUUGACUAGAACAUAGUCGUCUGUCAUACUUAGUGUGGAGGGUGACCAAAGAGGGAGUGUUUUGUCUGAAUAGCAUUGCAUCCAGCCAGAUAGCGAGGGCAAGUAGCUGGAGGGAAGAGGAAGACAGACAUUGUAGAGGAAGCUAGCAGUGACUCCCCCCCAGAUUAUAUCCUAUUAAUAAAAGUAAGAACCUAAUUUAUGCCAUGUGCCUGGGCCUCACAGGGCCAUCACACCUCCAUGAAACAAA